rnacentral:rRNA from 1 species
CGCCUACGGGACGCAGCAGUGAGGAAUAUUGGUCAAUGGGAGAGAUCCUGAACCAGCCAAGCCGCGUGAGGGAAGACGGCCCUAUGGGUUGUAAACCUCUUUUGUCGGAGAACAAAACCCGGGACGUGUCCCGGACUGCGUGUAUCCGAAGAAAAAGCAUCGGCUAACUCCGUGCCAGCAGCCGCGGUAACACGUAGGGGGCAAGCGUUAUCCGGAUUUACUGGGUGUAAAGGGAGCGUAGACGGCAUAGCAAGUCUGAUGUAAAAGAUCGGGGCUCAACCCCGG